rnacentral:rRNA from 1 species
UACGGAGGGUCCAAGCGUUAUCCGGAAUCAUUGGGUUUAAAGGGUCCGUAGGCGGUUUUGUAAGUCAGUGGUGAAAGCCCAUCGCUCAACGGUGGAACGGCCAUUGAUACUGCAAGACUUGAAUUGCUAGGAAGUAACUAGAAUAUGUAGUGUAGCGGUGAAAUGCUUAGAUAUUACAUGGAAUACCAAUUGCGAAGGCAGGUUACUGCUAGUGGAUUGACGCUGAUGGACGAAAGCGUGGGGAGCGAACAGG